UGGGGAAUAUUGGACAAUGGGCGAAAGCCUGAUCCAGCCAUGCCGCGUGUAUGAAGAAGGCCUUCGGGUUGUAAAGUACUUUCAGCGGGGAGGAAGGGAGUAAAGUUAAUACCUUUGCUCAUUGACGUUACCCGCAGAAGAAGCACCGGCUAACUCCGUGCCAGCAGCCGCGGUAAUACGGAGGGUGCAAGCGUUAAUCGGAAUUACUGGGCGUAAAGCGCACGCAGGCGGUUUGUUAAGUCAGAUGUGAAAUCCCCGGGCUCAACCUGGGAACUGCAUCUGAUACUGGCAAGCUUGAGUCUCGUAGAGGGGGGUAGAAUUCCAGGUGUAGCGGUGAAAUGCGUAGAGAUCUGGAGGAAUACCGGUGGCGAAGGCGGCCCCCUGGACGAAGACUGACGCUCAGGUGCGAAAGCGUGGGGAGCAAACA
rnacentral:rRNA from 1 species